UAGGGAAUCUUCGGCAAUGGACGAAAGUCUGACCGAGCAACGCCGCGUGAGUGAAGAAGGUUUUCGGAUCGUAAAACUCUGUUGUUAGAGAAGAACAAGGACGUUAGUAACUGAACGUCCCCUGACGGUAUCUAACCAGAAAGCCACGGCUAACUACGUGCCAGCAGCCGCGGUAAUACGUAGGUGGCAAGCGUUGUCCGGAUUCAUGGGGCGUAAAGCGAGCGCAGGCGGUUUCUUAAGUCUGAUGUGAAAGCCCCCGGCUCAACCGGGGAGGGUCAUUGGAAACUGGGAGACUUGAGUGCAGAAGAGGAGAGUGGAAUUCCAUGUGUAGCGGUGAAAUGCGUAGAUAUAUGGAGGAACACCAGUGGCGAAGGCGGCUCUCUGGUCUGUAACUGACGCUGAGGCUCGAAAGCGUGGGGAGCAAACAGG
rnacentral:rRNA from 1 species